CUAUCAUUGUGAAUGUAUUUUACAAAGUCUGCCAUGGUACAGAACGGUUCAUGGCUUGAUUUUAAAGCUUCUGAAACGUAGACCGCACUGGCACUCUUGACGAUCGUCCCAUCCAGGAACUUCAGUACUGUGGAGAUAUCCAUCUUGGCAUAUACAAGAUCUUUGACGUCAUUUGCAAUGUGGACACGCUAACGCUGAUCUGAAGAGACAUCAAGUGUUGAGAUUGUGACUAAUUCAGCAGACCCUGAAGUCAGUGAGAGAUCCUCUGCAUCCUAUGAACAGACAUCAAGUGUUGAGAUUGUGACUAAUUCAACAGACCCUGAAGUCAGUGAGAGAGCCACUGCAACCUAUGAACAGAUAUCGGAUCAUGAUUCCUCCGAUCAUUCGGAUUAUGAAGAUAUCGACAAGGACAUCUUUAUGGGUAUAGCUUCAACACACAGUGGAGAGAUUGCAGGUUG